rnacentral:rRNA from 1 species
GACGAACGCUGGCGGCGUGCUUAACACAUGCAAGUCGUACGGUAAGGCCCUUUCGGGGGUACACGAGUGGCGGACGGGUGAGUAACACGUGAGUAACCUGCCCACAACUUUGGGAUAACGCUAGGAAACUGGUGCUAAUACUGGAUAUGUGCUCCUGCUGCAUGGUGGGGGUUGGAAAGCUCCGGCGGUUGUGGGUGGACUCGCGGCCUAUCAGCUUGUUGGUGGGGUAGUGGCCUACCAAGGCGGCGACGGGUAGCCGGCCUGUGGGGGUGACCGGCCACAUUGGGACUGAGGGACGGCCCAGACUCCUACGGGAGGCAGCAGUGGGGAAUAUUGCACGAUGGGCGCAAGCCUGAUGCAGCAACGCCGCGUGCGGGAUGACGGCCUUCGGGUUGUAAACCGCUUUCAGCAGGGACGAAGCUUUUUGUGACGGUACCUGCAGAAGAAGCACCGGCUAACUACGUG